GGUUAUCUCGCCUCCCUGUCACGGAGGAGAUCGUCGGUUCAAAUCCGUCAUGGACCG
rnacentral:tRNA from 1 species